rfam:Callipepla squamata strain Texas jcf7180005230121, whole genome shotgun sequence.
GGAUGUGAGGGUGAUCUGGCUAUGAUAUUUGUCACCCCAUUGAUUGCCAGGGGUGAUUCACCUGAUCUGGGUGGCUAGGCAGGUGUCAUCUUCCUCCCUCACUGCUCCACGUGCAUCCCUCUCAAAGUUGCACACUUGGUUGAAGAGGACGACCUUCCCUGACAGAGCUGUAGCAUUCAUCCAUCAAGGGCAUACAGUAGCUGCACUCCCCUGGUGGAACCUCCAAACAAGCUCACAGUCCAUUUGAAGAAGAACGUAGGGUAGUCAAGCUCCCAAGACUGCAGACACAUCCAAGCGAGGCACUGCAUGGGGCAGUGCCUGAAGGG